rnacentral:tRNA from 1 species
GCCGGGGUAGCUCAAUCGGUAGAGCGUGUGGCUCUUACAAUAGGUCUUUGACCUAUAAAAGAACACCUCAAGGUCGUGGGUUCGAGCCCCACCUUCGGCU